rnacentral:tRNA from 2 species
GCGGGGGUGGCCGAGUCAGGACAAAGGCGCGGGACUUAAGAUCCCGUGGCGUAGGCCUGCGUGGGUUCGAAUCCCACCCCCCGCACCA